GCUAAUUACAAGGGCUCCUUUUUCUUUUCUUUUCUUUUUCCUUUUUUCUUACUUACACCCCUGUCUUGCUGGUAGUCUUACGUGGUAAAAAGUCUAUAUUUUAAAGUUACUUUCCAAAGAUACCUUGAUUAUUUUUCUUAUCUGAAAUUGUUGUUUCCAGUGAGUUAAAAUGAUUUUAGUAAAGUUUUUACCCCAGUCCAAAAAUCCGCAGUGACUCCAUGCAAGUAACUUAUUUUGGUAAUUUAAAGGUGAUUGUGAAUGACUUCGCGUGCCGUAUCUAAGAUUUUCGAUGUUAUCUUGAAGAUGAGAAAUUUACUCAAAGUUUAAAGUUCAGAGUGAAAUUAAUAGCUUCCUGUUUUAAGAAACUGAUAACAGAUGGUGACUAAUCAGACGCGGAGGUAAGGCACGGAAGAGGCUCAGCCCCCUUCUUAUUUCUGGCUUCUGAAUUCUCACAUGGAAUCCAGGUAUAACUGACUAGUAAUGACAUAAGCCUUCCCUUCAUUGUGAACAUCCAUGGCGGAUCUACGUUUGCAACUGGUGAGACUUCGCUAGCUUGUGUGGAAGAUAGCUCGGUUGCUCUGUGCUGCUAAAAUGGAAACGUCCUUUCAUUCCAUUCAUAUUCAGGUCUCCUCACGAAGGACACAACGCGGGAGUGCCAGUAAGGAAAGAGGAAAAUCAGGGCAUGGAAAAUCUGGACAGAAUAUCUACACCUGGUUCUCGGCAAGUUUUGGAUCCGUUUUGUCGCUGUUGCUGUUGUUAAUUGUUGUGGGGAAAGUUUGUUUUCUUUUAAACUUUUAACUCCUUUUAGACAUGAGUAUAUCUUAUUUACAUCAUUUCCACCCCUCCCCCAACUCCUGUUAAAGCACCCCUCUCAAAUUCUUGACCAUCAAUUCUAUAACUAUUAUUUUUACAGAACCUACUGAGUCCAGUUAGAGUUGCUUUCAGGUGUAUGCUUGCUUAGGGCUGUGCACUUAAGAUUAGGAAACCUACCUAAGGGCUGACUGGCUUGUCCUUGAAGAAAAGUUGAGUCUUACUCCCUUAGCAUCGAAUGACCAGUGGGACCCACUUAAGCUUCCCAUAUUUGAUUUGACCCUGCCCACGGGUGUGGUCUUUUCC
rnacentral:lncRNA from 1 species